UCUUCUUCUGCUGCUGCCAUUUUCUAGCAAUGGUCAGGCUCACAGCAACAUAUCUUUGGGCUUAUCUCUCACUGCUGCAAGUGAUAACCUUCCUUGGACUUCACCAUCUGGGGAAUUUGCUUUUGGAUUCCAGCAAGUUGGUGAUGCUGGCUACCUACUUGCCAUAUGGUUCAACAAAAUACCCGAAAGAACCAUAGUCUGGUCAGCUAAUAGAAAUGAUCUAGUUCAGGGGGGAUCAAGAGUACAACUUACGGCAGAUGGUGAGUUGGUUCUAAAUGAUCAAUCAGGCAGACAAAUAUGGAGUCCAGUUUUUGGUGGAAGUGGAGCCGCCUAUGCAGCCAUGCUUGACACGGGAAACUUCGUGGUAGCAAGCCAAGCUGGUGCCAAUUUGUGGCAGAGUUUUGAUGAACCAACAGACACACUGUUGCCCACACAAAAUCUGAAUUUAGGUGCUCAACUAAUUGCUCCCUACCUGGAAAAGAAUUAUUCACAUGGAAGAUUCAUGUUCAUUCUACAAACUGACGGGAAUCUCUUAUUGUACACAACACGUUAUCCAACAACUACAGUAAAUUAUGCUUAUUGGUCUACCCAGGAUUCUAUUGGAAGCGGUUAUAGGGUGGUCUUUAACCAGUCUGGCUAUAUGUACCUCGCAGCCCAAAAUGGCACUAUGCUUAAUUCGGUAUUCUCUAAUUCAGUAUCAAUGCAAGAUUUCUACUUGAGGGCUACCAUAGACUAUGAUGGAGUUUUUAGGCAAUAUGCUUAUCCAAAGACUGCUUCCAGUAGCACAAGGUGGCCAAUGGCCUGGACGACUUUGCCAAACUUCAUACCCUCAAAUAUCUGCGUGGUAAUUAGGGGACCAGUAGGCAGUGGAGCUUGCGGUUUCAACAGUUAUUGCAUAUUAGAAGAUGACCAAAGACCGACAUGCAAGUGUCCUCCUGGUUACACUUUCUUUGAUCCAAAUGAUGAGAGGAAGGGAUGCAAGAAAAACUUUAUUUCACAGGAUUGUGACCAUCCAUCGCAAGAAAUAGAUAACUUUAUGAUCAGGGAUAUGCUUAACACAAACUUUCCAUAUACUGAUUAUGAUGAUUUUACUUCAGUGGACGAGGAUUGGUGCAGACAAGCUUGCUUGAGUGACUGCUAUUGUGCUGUUGCCACUUAUAACAGUGGAAGCUGUUGGAAGAAGAGAGGCCCUCUCUCGAAUGGGGUAACAGAUCCAAGUAUUGGUGAUAAAGCCCUGCUGAAAGUAAGGAAAGGCAACGGGACUGCAGGUUCAAGUGCAAAGAAGAGUGAUCGAUCAACUUUGAUCACAACAGGAUCGGUGCUUUUAGGUAGCUCCAUCUUUCUAAUUGUUCUCUCUCUGCUAGGAAUCUACGUGUUCUUUACUCGAUGGAACCAACAAAAACGAAAGGUGGUACCGCAACUCCAUGUCAUGCCAGAAAUGAAUCUGCAGAAUUUUACUUACAAUGAGCUGGAAACAGCUACAGGAGGAUUCAAGGAAGAACUUGGUAGGGGUGCUUUUGGAAUUGUUUACAGAGGGGCACUAGCCAACGAAGACAAACCGCUCAUCGCAGUAAAGAAAUUAGAAAAGAUGGCCGGGGAGGGCGACACAGAAUUCAAUACAGAAGUGAAAGUUAUUGGAAGAACAAAUCACAAGAAUCUGGUUCAACUUGUUGGAUUCUGUAACGAAGGGGAAAAUCGCCUUCUGGUCUACGAGUACAUGAGCAGUGGCUCCUUGUCGAACUACAUAUUUGGAUAUUCAAGGCCUAGUUGGCACCGAAGAAUGCAAAUUGCUUUCGGUGUAGCCAGAGGGCUCCUUUACCUCCAUGAAGAAUGCAGCUCCCAGAUAAUCCAUUGUGAUAUCAAGCCUCCAAAUAUCCUCCUCGACGAAUAUCUUAAUGCAAGGAUUUCUGAUUUCGGACUAGCCAAGCUGUUGAAGACGGACCAGACUAAAACAACUACAGCAAUCAGGGGGACGAAAGGGUAUGUAGCUCCUGAAUGGUUCAAGAACCUGCCUAUCACAACCAAAGUAGACACCUACAGCUUUGGCAUUCUCUUGCUGGAGCUUGUAUGCUGCAGAAAGAACUUUGAGAUUAAUGCUAUGCAAGAACAUCAGAUAGUUCUUGCAGACUGGGCGUGUGAUUGCCUUAAAGAAGGAAAGUUGAAUCUUUUAGUAGAAGAAGAUGAAGAGGCAAUGGAAGACAUGAAAAGGGUAGAGAGGUUUGUGAUGGUUGCAAUUUGGUGCAUUCAGGAGGAUCCAUCUUUAAGACCUGGAAUGAAGAAAGUUGUGCAGAUGUUAGAAGGAGGUGUUCAAGUCUCUGUUCCUCCUGAUCCUUCAUCAUUUAUCAGCACAAUCUAAAUCCUUUUUGUACACAUAUAUAUAUCCAGAAAGUAAGGCCAAUGAAUGUUACCUAUCUACCUUGUAUUGAAUAAUCUGUAGUUCCUAUCAUUUCAGGGCAAUAAGGCUUAAAACGCAUGCUUUCAAUUAUUAUUUUUUCUUUUCAUGUUCACGAGUAAUAAGUAAAAUAAAAGAUUUAAAAUGAAUAUAAAGGCAAACCGUAAAUAAUUAUUAGAUAUUUUUUCUUGAUUUUCUUUUAGGAUGUUAUAUAUUAACGCAUGUAUAAAAUUCAAGAUGUUAAAUACAAUUUCUCAGCAAGAAAGUGAAUUAAAAUCAAUCUUUAAAGGUUUAUUUUAAUUAUUCUUUUUAGAUAUUUUCAAUAAAAAAAACUUGGAGCACAAUCCUAAAUCCUAGAAGUGAAAACAUUACACGUACCCUGUGAUAUCAUCUAAUAUUUUUAAAGAAUAAUAUAAAUAAAAAUUUAAAAUCUUAACUAAUAAUUCUUGUUUUUAAAUUGAAUAAUAAGUCAUUUUUUACGAGUUAUUUCUUUCUCUGUAAUUUAAUAGAAUUUUCUAAAAAAAAACCAGAAUAUAUAUAUAUAAUUUCUUGGAACAAGCCACCUUUUGAAAGGGUUUUCCUCUCCAAGAUUUAGUGGAAUUUUCUCAAAACAAAAUCUAGAAUAAAGAAAACUAGAAUUGUACUCCCAUCUCAGGUGGGACUCGUACGGAUUGUUAUAUAUUAACUUGGUCUGGUUCGUGGAUUGAUUGGGAUUUAGUUUAGAUGAGAAUGCAUCGUGACAGAAACACAGGCAAAGAAGAACCAGAAACUAUCAUAAGGAUUAGUGUAAGAUGCAUCCAUCAGAGGACAACAUAUCACAUCUCUUUGAUAGAAUAAAUAGUUUGUAAAACAAGCCGAUUGAUGUUUUUCUGCAGCUAUCAUCUUCGAAUACAGAUAGAUACCUGAUAAAAUAUGAAUCCAAAAGAGCGAAUAUCUUUCUGCUUGGUGUCAUUCGAUUGAUGGAACAAUCAUUUCUUUGGCCUUCGAAACAAAAGAGGGUCUUAGGAAGUAGAAUUAAUGUUACAUAUACAUGGGAAAUUAAUGCUAAGAAGAUGAAAUGUUGAGAAACUAGCAGGUAUAAUAUUGGAGCUGUAAUCCCCCCUCUUACACAAACACGUACGAGUCCCACCUGAGAUGGGAGUACAAUUCUAGUAUAUAUCAAAUAUAAAAUAAAACUUUUAUAAUUGAAGUGGUCAAAAGAAGGAAGCUUGUGAUUAAUUUCAAUGGACGUUAUCUAUUGCUCUAAGACGUACAGCUAAUAACAUGUCUUUUUUGCAUGGGUCUAUCACACAGUCCUUUCUUCGCGUUAAUAUAUAUUGGAAUAGUUAACCAUUGAAAAUUACAACCACCUAAUGUUUGACUCAUUAAUGCUGCGAUAAGUUUUUCCUAAGGCAGUAAACAGGAAGCUGCUAUGUUUUUUCCUCCAGUCAAAUGAUAAUUUAUUUCAGUUUUUUUUAUAGUUUACCGACCGGGAUUUAACGAUAUAACGAGCCGAUUCAUAAAAAUAUUAUUUUGUUAUUUUAAAAAAAAAUUAAAAUAAUAUUAUUUUAAUUUUUUUAAAAUUAAACAAGGUUUUUAUAUUGUCGGUCUGGUUCCGGGAUUUUUAUUAAGUUGAUUAAAUCUGAUUAAGUAAAUUUUAAUUAGUUUAUUUUAAAAAAUAACCAAAGUUUGGUUUUGGGUUGGCAGAUAAAUGCAUUUACCGUUUAAUAACUGGAAAAAUUUGAUGUUAGUUAAAAUUUAUUUACCAAAAAUAAAAAUUUAUAAAGAUAAAAAAAAAAGUCUUUACAAGGAUUCUGUUUGUUUUUGUGUUUCAAAAAUAUUUUUUUUAAAAUUUAAAUUUUUUUAUUUUUUUCUUUACUUGAAAUUAAUAUUUUUUGGUGUUUUUAAAUCAUUUUGAUGUGCUGAAGUCAAAAUUAAUUUUUAAAAAAUAAAAAAAUAUAUUAUUUUAAUAUAUUUUCAAAUAAAAUAUAUUUAAAAAAUAAUAUUAUCACAAUCCCAAAUAUAAUAAAAUCAUCCAAUUAGCGGAAGGUUUUUAACAUAGUUUAUUCUCAUGCAUUAAAAAGAUUCGAAAUUAGUUGAAAUCUCUUUAUGAGAAGGGAAAAAUCACAAUCACAUAAACAAAGUCAUGAUUGCCAUCUUCAUUUCAUACGCGGAUUGUUGGAGACUCAUAUUUUCUUCCAACGGCAAUACCCAGCAUAAAUAGAGAAGAGGACCUAUUGUUUAAAAUAUAGUAUCUUCACAUCAUGGAUUUUCAACUAUCAUAUUGUUUUUUCUUCCUUCUUCUUCUGCUUCAGCUUCUGCCAUUCUCCAUCAAUGGUCAGACUUACAGAAACAUAUCUUUGGGGUCAUCUCUCACUGCUGCAAGAGAUAACCUUCCUUGGACUUCACCAUCUGGGGAAUUUGCUUUUGGAUUCCAGCAAGUUGGUGAUGCUGGCUACCUACUUGCCAUAUGGUUCAACAAAAUACCCGAAAGAACCAUAGUCUGGUC
rnacentral:lncRNA from 1 species